UUCUGUUGUUGGCAACCAACAGAGUUGUUGUCUUUUCUCGCAUUCAUUAAAAUGCACAAGAAGAAAUUUCUAAUGGUGAGGGAGUACUUGCUUCAAAUUCAUACUUCAGUGAAAUAAACAACACCAUACAUAGGAAUGUGAAAGCAAAGUCAUCAUACACUGUUUGCUUCAUUGUAUGAGAAUCAAUGUUUGCAUGAUAAACUGCCCUAAUGGAAGAGGACUCUGAGUUACCUUUUUCGAGCAAAGCCACCUAGGUUACUCUGUUUUCCCCAGAGUGACCCUUCUGUUCUGCAAAUUUUCAGAUUGAAGGGAGUAGCAGUAGAGUAUCAGAAGUAUCAGAAGCAAAAAAGUAAAUGUAUGAUUUGAAAUCUACUUAAAUGUACCAAUCACAGCAGAGUCUUUUGGAACUUAAACAUCUUGACUCUUCUGUUUAAAGCCUAAAUCAACCUGAGAGAAGAGAUGAAACAACUGAGGGCCAAAAAGUUUACAAAAUUUUCCAAGAUCAUACAGCUAAUUAACAACAUCUGGGCUCUUCUUGACUUUUGGAAUCCAGUAAGAAACUGUUUAGAUUAUUAAUAUUUUUACUUUAAUGAAAGCUUUACUGAUUACUUCCCAAAAUGUUUGGGAAAUUCUCAUUUUUCUGGUAUUUAUCCAAUUGUUAACAUAAAACUACUUGUAAAAUCAAACUAGAAACAAAGUUGAUUUCACAUUAGAGUUGGCAUUUUAGCUGAAAAAUGUCAAUAGUUCUGAUGUAAGUAAAGAAACCUGAAUCUAAAAAUAAAUGACAUAAAUUUGCUAGGUCAUUCCAAUAUUUAUAUACUUGAAUCUGAAUCAUCAAACACGUUUUAUAGCAUCAGGGUAUGGAUUAUAACACUAUGCUCUUAAGGGGAUCAUCAGAAUAAAUAACACAUGACACUUCAGAAAACGCAGCAAUCCCUGGAAAGAUGCCUUCUCUGUGAGGUUUCUCCUUGCAUGUGGAACACUAUUUAUUUCAUCUUCUUGAUUGGUGUUCCUGGGCAGGGGUCACAAUGUAAUGCAUAUGAGCACAUCUAAUCAGAGAGUGUUUUCAUCUUAAGACUUUUUAUUUAAUUGUCUAAAAUAAAAGUUGCCAAUUGCCAAUAUUAUUAUUUUUUCUUCAGCAAGCCUACAGUGAUUUUGGUCCAAUUAUUGUGUAAUUCUUGAUCUGUCUGUUUUGGUUUAAGUGAAAUAGCUAGCUAGGAAGACAGCUCAUAUUCUCCCAUAUCUUGAGGGAAAUAUAUUUGAUAAAACUUAGUCAAUUGUUGCAUUAUUAUUUCAUUUUAAAAUCAUUUAAUAUGACACAAUAAUUUAAGGGUUCUAAAUAAUGUUUGAGAAUCAUUAAUUACAUACAACCCAUUAGCUAUAUGUUUGAGCAAAUAAAUUUCCAUAAGCCUUUUUACGUAGACACAGCUCUAACAGGCCUGACUUUAAUGAAAGAUAGCUUUAUGGGAUAGCAUUUUGAUUGCAGUUUGUUUUGAAAUUCUAUACAAACUUAUAGAAAGGUGCACAUGAUGGUGUGAAGAACACAGUGUGUGAAAUAAGAAGAUCUGAGUUAAAUACUGGCUCUUGCACUUUCCAGUGUGUGAACCUCAGUUUCCAAAUCUGUGAAAUGGUAAUAACAAACAUUUCAUAGACUUGUUAAAGAAUUAAAUGGUGUAAUUAUAUACUGAAGCUUUUUUAUGUUUUGAAUAGCUCUGUGCAUAUGACUUUACACCAAUAAGAAAAUUUCACUAAAAAUUUCUCCUUUUCCCCCAGUUUUCAAAGCCACUUUUAAGAAACAUCACGUGUAAAUGAAAGUUUGCUAAAUUAUAUCUAAAUAACAUGCCUCCUAUAUUUCAAAUUAUUUGAUUCUACUUCUUCCCCUUGUCUAUCAUCCUUUCUCUUCAUAGACAAGUUUUAUGACAGAGUGGGCCACACUCACUAUUCACACUUCUUUUUCUGAGAUCCGUGAAGAUAUUUAAAAGUCAUCUUAUUAGGGAGGGGCAAGAAAUUUAAGUGUAUAAUUGUAUUUUAUGUUGUUAUGCCACGACUUUAUGCGAAACAAUUAAAUUCAACAGGCAUAUUGCUGUGCAGUCUUUUCUGUUCCUUUACACAAACUUUAUUUCUCGUGAUCCCUAAUUUUAAACUGUAAAAAAGUGAUGUGGAAAGUGGAUAGUGUGCUAUAUCUAGGUGUCAGUUUCUUAGAUGGCAACCUAUAUUGUUUUUAAAAUAUCUGCAUCUAUAAGAUUUCAUCCACAACACUAGUAAAAGAUCAUUGGAAUUAUAAUUUAUCCCUAUAUUUGCAAUCUUCUGCAGAGAGAACUUUUUUUUCUUAAAAUACAGCCAGGCUGAUCCAUACUGAUUUAUUUAUUUCUACUACAGUAAGUGUUCAACCAGAAGUUGAAAACACUCUGACUUUUGAAGUGGUGAUUUUCAUCGUUGUAGAAUGCUUUGUAUCUAUGACGUAUUUUGUUCUGUGCUGCCAAUGAAACACCUCUUGCUAGAUAAAGAUGCAGCUGGUGAUAGUGAUUUGAAGACUUGGCAUAUAUGAUAUGUGUGAUAUUGAUGACUAGUAUGUGUCAAUAAGUUUAGGCUAGGGUUCCAAACUGUUCUCAUCAACCUUUCAUUAUCUAAUUUUGACCAUCUUCAACUUAACUUCUAUCUUCCUUCCUACUCCU
rnacentral:lncRNA from 1 species